UACGUAGGUGACAAGCGUUGUCCGGAUUUACUGGGCGUAAAGGGCGCGUAGGCGGUUUGUUAAGUUGAAUGUGAAAACUCUGGGCUUAACCCAGAGCCUGCAUUCAAUACUGGCAGGCUAGAGUUCUGGAGGGGAUAGCGGAAUUCCUGGUGUAGCGGUGAAAUGCGUAGAUAUCAGGAGGAACACCGGUGGCGAAGGCGGCUAUCUGGACAGAGUCUGACGCUGAGGCGCGAAAGCUAGGGGAGCAAACAGG
rnacentral:rRNA from 1 species